GGGGGUGAAUUGGCUUCGACGCCGGUAAUGACGCUUAUUGGUGCAUGUCGAGAGGGUAGUAACUCUCGUUAAUCAAUUGCUGCAACUAAAUAUAGUUGCCAACGACGAAAACUACGCACUAGCUGCUUAAGAUCUCUUAAGCCUUUUAGCUAAUCCCGGGGCGAAUUUGCCCAUGGUUUUUCCCCGGGAGCGCAUGCACAUGGGAUCGCCGUGAUGCCCUGCUUGGGGAUAAGCGGUUAAAACCAAGCAAGCUAGCCUGUGCCCCCUGUCCGUCGGGAACGUCCAGGUAAAAUCAUAGACGUGACUAAACAUGUAGAUCCGUAGGCAGAAGGCUGACGGACGCGGGUUCGACUCCCGCCACCUCCACCA
rnacentral:tmRNA from 2 species